UUCCGGUUGAUCCUGCCGGACCCGACUGCUAUCAGAGUGGGACUAAGCCAUGCGAGUCAACAUAGCAAUAUGUGGCAUACGGCUCAGUAACACGUAGUCAAUCUACCCUAUGGACGUGGAUAACCUCGGGAAACUGAGAAUAAUACACGAUAGAUCAUAAUGCCUGGAAUGGUUUAUGAUUGAAAUGAUUUAUCGCUAUAGGAUGGGACUGCGGCCUAUCAGCUUGUUGGUGGGGUAAUGACCCACCAAGGCUAUAACAGGUACGGGCUCUGAGAGGAGAAGCCCGGAGAUGGGUACUGAGACACGGACCCAGGCCCUAUGGGGCGCAGCAGGCGAGAAACCUUUGCAAUGUGCGCAAGCACGACAAGGUUAAUCCGAGUGUUUCCUGCUAAAGGAAUCUUUUGUUAGUCGUAAAACCACUGAUGAAUAAGGGGUGGGCAAGUCUGGCGUCAGCCGCCGCGGUAAUACCAGCACCUCGAGUGGUCAGGAUGUUUAUUGGGCCUAAAGCAUCCGUAGCCGGCUUUGCAAGUCUCCGGUUAAAUCCAGCUGCCUAACAGAUGGGCUGCCGGAGAUACUACAUAGCUAGGGAGUGGGAGAGGUAGACGGUAUUCGGUAGGAAGGGGUAAAAUCCUUUGAUCUAUUGAGGACCACCUAUGGCGAAGGCAGUCUACCAGAACACGUCCGACGGUGAGGGAUGAAAGCUGGGGGAGCAAACCGGAUUAGAUACCCGGGUAGUCCCAGCUGUAAACGAUGCAGACUCGGUGAUGGGUUGGCUUCGAGCCAACCCAGUGCCGCAGGGAAGCCGUUAAGUUUGCCGCCUGGGAAGUACGGUCGCAAGACUGAAACUUAAAGGAAUUGGCGGGGGAGCACCACAAGGGGUGAAGCCUGCGGUUCAAUUGGAUUCAACGCCGGA
rnacentral:rRNA from 1 species